UACAUAGGUGGCAAGCGUUAUCCGGAUUUAUUGGGUGUAAAGAGAGUACAGGUGGUUUUAUAAGUAGGAUGUUAAAUGCAAUGGCUCAACCAUUGUCUGCAUACUAAACUGUAAGACUAGAAUAACGGAGGGAUCAGUGGAAUUCCAUGUGUAGCGGUGGAAUGCAUAAAUAUAUGGAGGAACACCAAUGGCGAAGGCAGCUGAUUAGACGAUUAUUGACACUUAAACUCGAAAGCGUGGGGAGCAAAUAGG
rnacentral:rRNA from 1 species